rnacentral:rRNA from 1 species
CGUGUAGGCGGUUUGGUAAGUUGGACGUGAAAGCUCCUGGCUCAACUAGGAGAGGUCGUUCAAUACUGUCAGACUUGAGGAUGGUAGAGGGAGGUGGAAUUCCGGGUGUAGUGGUGAAAUGCGCAGAUAUCCGGAGGAACACCAGUGGCGAAAGCGGCCUCCUGGACCACUCCUGACGCUCAGACGCGAAAGCUAGGGUAGCAAACG